CAGGAAGAUUGCCGCGAUAAACUGCGCAUUGAGGGCGCCCCAGAGGCGGACCCGGACGGCGCCAGUGCCUCCGAGGUGGAUGCGGAAGCUUCUUUCUCUGCCUUGACCGGAGGUAUUCUGCCCAGAAACUGAGAAGCUGGGGCCAUUUGAUCCCUUUUGAGACCAACGACUUUAAAAAAUUCAAAAAGCCUUAGCUCCCUUGAUUAUGAAGAUGAGGAUGAGGAUGACACCCGAGUGAAGAUGACCAUGUCUUCCCCAUAUGACCCACACAGCCUCACACGCAUCGUCACGCUCGGCUCCAGCCCAUGGGCCCUGUGGAAGUGGGCGGCUGCUAAGGGCAAGGGCGAGAGAGGCAAGGACCCCAGUGACCGGGACAUUGCCAGGGAGGAGGGCGUCUUCCCUCUGGGCUGCAGCGAGCUGGACCUGGAGCCGAUCGAGAAGAACUGACUAUCAUGGUGGGAGGAGCCAAGGGCAGGCUGUGGCCUCUGGUCUGCGCGCCCUGUUCCCACGGAAACUGGUUAUGUGUUGCUUUGAACAUCAGAUGUAAUUUUUUUUUUUAAAAGAUUUUAUUUUUUCCUUUUUCUCCCCAAAGCCCCCCGGUACAUAGUUGUAUAUUCUUUGUUGUGGGUCCUUCUAGUUGUGGCAUGUGGGACGCUG